rnacentral:piRNA from 1 species
GAGAACAUUUGGACCCUUUAGGUCUUGUU